rnacentral:rRNA from 1 species
UUAAGUGACUAAGCGUACACGGUGGAUGCCCUGGCAGUCAGAGGCGAUGAAGGGCGUGCUAAUCUGCGAUAAGCGUCGGUAAGGUGAUAUGAACCGUUAUACCCGACGAUACCCGAAUGGGGAAACCCGGUGCAAUCCGUUGCAUCAUCGCAACAUGAAUACAUAGUGUUGCGAGGCGAACCGGGGGAACUGAAACAUCUAAGUACCCCGAGGAAAAGAAAUCAACCGAGAUUCCCCCAGUAGCGGCGAGCGAACGGGGAGGAGCCCGGAACCAUCAUCAGCGGUUGCGUCAGUGGAAGCGUCUGGAAAGUCGCACGAUACAGGGUGAAAGUCCCGUACACGAAGAUACAGCCGUUGUGAGUUCGAAGAGUAGGGCGGGACACGUGGUAUCCUGUCUGAAUAUGGGGGGACCAUCCUCCAAGGCUAAAUACUCCUGACUGACCGAUAGUGAACCAGUACCGUGAGGGAAAGGCGAAAAGAACCCCGGCGAGGGGAGUGAAACAGAACCUGAAACCGUGUACGUACAAGCAGUGGGAGCCUCAUUUAUGGGGUGACUGCGUACCUUUUGUAUAAUGGGUCAGCGACUUGUAUUCUGUAGCAAGGUUAACCGAAUAGGGGAGCCGAAGGGAAACCGAGUCUUAACCGGGCGUUAAGUUGCAGGGUACAGACCCGAAACCCGGUGAUCUAGCCAUGGGCAGGUUGAAGGUUGGGUAACACUAACUGGAGGACCGAACCGACUGAUGUUGAAAAAUCAGCGGAUGACCUGUGGCUGGGGGUGAAAGGCCAAUCAAACCGGGAGAUAGCUGGUUCUCCCCGAAAGCUAUUUAGGUAGCGCCUCGUGAACUCAUCUCCGGGGGUAGAGCACUGUUUCGGCUAGGGGGCCAUCCCGGCUUACCAACCCGAUGCAAACUGCGAAUACCGGAGAAUGUUAUCACGGGAGACACACGGCGGGUGCUAACGUCCGUCGUGAAGAGGGAAACAACCCAGACCGCCAGCUAAGGUCCCAAAGUCAUGGUUAAGUGGGAAACGAUGUGGGAAGGCCCAGACAGCCAGGAUGUUGGCUUAGAAGCAGCCAUCAUUUAAAGAAAGCGUAAUAGCUCACUGGUCGAGUCGGCCUGCGCGGAAGAUGUAACGGGGCUAAACCAUGCACCGAAGCUGCGGCAGCGGACGUAUCACUUAAGGCGCUUAACGUGACGGCGAAGCCGGCACGUUCAAGCCACAACAACGUUGAGUCGGUCUGCGAACUGACAACAACGAAGCGUCUUAAGGAUACGUCCGUUGGGUAGGGGAGCGUUCUGUAAGCCGUCGAAGGUGGACUGUGAGGUCUGCUGGAGGUAUCAGAAGUGCGAAUGCUGACAUAAGUAACGAUAAAGCGGGUGAAAAGCCCGCUCGCCGGAAGACCAAGGGUUCCUGUCCAACGUUAAUCGGGGCAGGGUGAGUCGACCCCUAAGGCGAGGCCGAAAGGCGUAGUCGAUGGGAAACAGGUUAAUAUUCCUGUACUCGGUGUUACUGCGAAGGGGGGACGGAGAAGGCUAUGUUGGCCGGGCGACGGUAGUCCCGGUUUAAGCGUGUAGGUGUGUGUUCCAGGCAAAUCCGGUUCACUUUACACUGAGGCGUGAUGACGAGGCACCACGGUGCUGAAGCAACAAAUGCCCUGCUUCCAGGAAAAGCCUCUAAGCAUCAGGUAACACAGAAUCGUACCCCAAACCGACACAGGUGGUCAGGUAGAGAAUACCAAGGCGCUUGAGAGAACCCGGGUGAAGGAACUAGGCAAAAUGGUGCCGUAACUUCGGGAGAAGGCACGCUGGUGUGUAGGUGAAGUCACUUGCUGACGGAGCCGAAGCCAGUCGAAGAUACCAGCUGGCUGCAACUGUUUAUUAAAAACACAGCACUGUGCAAACACGAAAGUGGACGUAUACGGUGUGACGCCUGCCCGGUGCCGGAAGGUUAAUUGAUGAGGUUAUCCGUAAGGAGAAGCUUUUGAUCGAAGCCCCGGUAAACGGCGGCCGUAACUAUAACGGUCCUAAGGUAGCGAAAUUCCUUGUCGGGUAAGU